GAAUAAAUUGUUAUUUGUGUAGGCGAGAAGACAGCUCUCUAUUGCUUGGCCCAACAUGACUGGAAACUAGAUAUUGCUCUGGAUCAUUACUUCGCAAACCCUGAUAUUUACUACAAAGAGCCCCGAAGCUCGGUGGAUCGGAAGAAACUUGACACUCUGUAUAAUCGUUACAAGGAUCCAAAGGAACCUGAGAAAAUAGGUAUGGAUGGAGUGAUUAAGUUCCUCGAUGAUUUGAACCUGGACCCUUCUUCCCGAACUGUUCUCAUAAUUGCCUGGAAAUUUAAGGAAACA